UUUAUAUGAGAGUUUGAUCCUGGCUCAGGAUGAACGCUGGCGGUGUGCCUAAUACAUGCAAGUCGUACGCACUGGCCCAACUAAUUGAUGGUGCUUGCACCUGAUUGACGUUGGAUCACCAGCGAGUGGCGGACGGGUGAGUAACACGUAGGUAACCUGCCCCGGAGCGGGGGAUAACAUUUGGAAACAGAUGCUAAUACCGCAUAACAACAAAAGCCACAUGGCUUUUGUUUGAAAGAUG
rnacentral:rRNA from 1 species